AGGUCAGACCGCGUGACGCAGAAACGGCUGGCUGGCUUCCUAUUGGCUUCCUUGGAGCAGUGGGAAGGCGACUGGCUGGAGCAGAUGGUGUCCCGAACUCGAGAUAGCACGUGAACAUAGAAACACCCGAUUGGCUGACAGCGCCUGUCCACGUGUACUGUAAACCGUCAUUGGCUUAGAGCGGGAAGGGCGUCAAUGGGUUCCGAAAGGCAGUUGAGGAGUGGGAGGGAGGCAGAAUUAUUUUCUGUGUCGCUCGCGCGCAUUAAAAAUUCAACCGCCUCAGGUUGGAGGACGGCGCAAACGUCCUUUCGUUGUCCCCGUCCUGCGUGUUUCUUAAUGCACUGUUGCUUGCCUCUCCCUUCUUUUGGAAUGUGAAUAUAGGAAAGGAACCUUGUUCCAUCUUCUUUGCCAUCCUUUUCCUUCCCCCUUUUCCAGAGCGGCUGCCAUGCUUGGUCGGUGUGGCAAGAGACUAAACAUGGCUGCUCCCCUGGAACUGGCCUGACAUUUGUGGAGCUCCGUCCGCAGGAGCCCUAUAGGGCGCAGUAACCGCCUCUUCCUCUCCCUCCCUUGGCUGUGCUGGGGUGCAGAUGGCGCCUGGCGAGCCUAAUCGCUCCCCACCCUAAUGCACUAUGAAAGAGAUAAGAAUUGAGUGCAACGCAGCUGCUUUUCCCUCAAGAUGGCCAAGCUGCCCACAGAGAAGGCGCAAAUGGACAUAAAGCCUUCUGGGGAGCGGGGGAGAUGAGCCUUCAGGCAGCAGCAACCGCCCCUGCUGAGUCCUGGCACUUGCCUGCCUGCCUGUUUCUCAGGGCCGCAUAGCGAGGAGUGUAUGGUGCGCUGGACUGGAUCCGCGCCUCUGAGCUCUCGGGAGGGUAAAAGGAUGAGAUCGCUAUGCCUUGGUCGCUGCUCGCACGUUUUUCUAGGCAGCACCGUAGGCCCAAUCCUCUUCUCUGCACCCAGGCACGAUAAGCGAGAGAGGGGAAGGUGUGAGGAGCUGCUCUUUGCCCUCGCCAUGCACAUUUCUCCCCUCCCCACAACGGGAGAGCGUAGAAGAGAUGGUGCCGCUGGGGUGUAUGUGUUCUGGGGCGCUUUCUAAGUUGGGGAACAUCCUUUCUAGCAUCUGGUGCAGAUGGCACAAAUUGUUUGGUCACCUUUUCCUUCCCCCUCCCUUCGGCUUCUUUUCCUGCAGAACAACUGCCUCUGUGCUAAGCAUAGGAGACUGAAGGCAACAUACGUGGAGUCAUCCCAUUUUAUCUGCACAACGUCCCUGUGAGGCAGGCUAGCUUCAAGGUCAUAUAGCGAGUGUCAUAAUUCUGCGGAUUAAGUUUUGGUCCAACAAAUCUUGAUCUCAAUUCCAUUGUGGCAUCCAUUUUUUUCUCAAAAAUAAAGCAAUGCUGCAGCUACCAAGCAAGCAAUGGACUCAGCUGCGCAGCAAUAAUGGUUAGCUAAAGAAAGACAUUGUCACAAAAUACUUGCAGUAGUUGCUGAUUUCUGCUAAAUAUGAUGCUGUAUUUACUGUCAUUUUCAACAAGAGACUAACAAAGUAUGUAUGAAUGGAAAACUCUUUACUUGAACUGGCUGUUGUUAUUGUUGCAAUUCCAUCCAUAUUAAUUUACAGAUAGCUGGUACAUUACUUAUGUUGGGUGCAGUGCUUUGAAGGCCAGGUAAUUUUGGUAAUUUUGUUGUACUGUUAAUACUAUACACAACUUGUCUCAAAGCAAUGUAGCGCCUAAAAGCUUUAGUGUUUCAAAAUUAACAAGUUCACAAAUGAAGAGUGUUCACAAUUGGACUUUUUAGCCUGUCCAGUGCUACUUAAACCUGUGUGUUGGUUGGGAAUAUGAAGCUCAUGAGGUUACGUUUCUAGUUAAAAAUAAACCAGUUCUAACACAUA